UUCUGACAGUAAUCUCAUGAGGUAGGUAUUAUUACUUACCCCACUUAGUAGCUGGGUGAAUGGAGUCACAUAGAGGUUAACCCAAAGUCACAAAGCUAGUAAUUGGUAAACUUGGCAUUCAAGUCCAGGUGGCCUGGCCUCAGUACAUUGUAACCAGCGGCUCUUCUGCCAUCUUGCUCAUAGACACCUACCAUCUGGGACACAGGCUCCAUUUCAGAUUUCCACACAGGUGUGUGCUCUUUGGAGAUUUUGGGGAGGAGACUAGGCAUGUCUUCAGGUAUCUUCAGGUAAAUGGAGUUUUGACCUUGUCUGAGGACCUCCAGACCCAGCCCUGUUCCCCACCUUGUCCUCUGUGAGUACUCCAUGCUGCCCACGGGAGAUUGUGUUGAUUUCUUGGUACUUUCCUAUUCUAGCUCUCGCUGCUCACUUUCAUUUCAGGACCAGGUGUCCUCCCUGGAGGCUUUGAGGUGGGUCCAAUUGAGAAGUCCCUUGGGCUUCCUGGGGGCUGGAGGGAAGGUCUCUGCAUGAAAGGGAGGGCCAGGAGGCCCAGCAAGCCUUGUAGCCCCAGGCGCCUGCGUGACACCUUACCGUGGCUCCUGGCUGAGUGGAUAUGGGGCUGGAUGUGGGCUCUGAUCUGGGGCCAGUCGUGUGCAGAGGUGGGGGAGAAAGUCAUGGUUGGGGAAAGUUCACAUGAGCUGGAGACUUUGAGAUCCUCUCAUUCAGCCUCCACAUUUUAUAACUGAGAAACUGAGUCUUCGAGGUGGGAAAGGAUGUGCCCAGGUCACCCUGCAGUCCUCAGCCUGGUGUCUCAACUAUGAGCCCAGAUUUCAGCAUGUCAUGAAGGAGGAUGGUGGGGGAUGGGGACAGACAAAAGCUUCCUAAGAUAUUCAGGACAACUAAAGACAGGGACAUCCAAAGUCACAGUGCUUCCUUUGUGUGCUGAGAAAACUUUAACGCAGACCAGAGACCUAUUGGAAAGAACCGUGACGGUGCUCGGUGCUCGGUGCUCGGUGAAUGAAGAACUCACCCUCUGCCUAGAGCCCCAGAAGCCUCUGGCUCAGGAGGGCUGAGGAUUCCUGAACGCCUUUGCAUUUCAGUGACCAACUACCCUGGGCAUGGCUGCAUGUGACCCCACCUGCCUCCUGGCAGUCCUCUCUGUGGGCAAACGUUGACAUCGGCCCUUCCCGGGGCCAGCCUUUGUCCUUCACCCCUUACCUGGUGUUUCUCACUGUACUCUCCCAGCAGCCAGCCUGGCAGCACUAUCAUCCCCUUCACCUUCACCUUCCUCCUCCUCAUCCUCAUUUAUCCAUUAGGAUAUUGAGGUUCAAAGGGAUUAAGGAGCUCACCUGAGGCCCGGGGUUAGCUGUGAGCCUGGUCCUUGACCCAAGGCUCAGCCCUUGUCCAGCUGCUUGCCUCGGAUUCAGAGAGUCUCACCCUCAGUGGCUCUAAAGACUGGAAGGAGGGAACCUAUCUUAGGGUCCAGAUCAUCUACCAGCACACACCUGCGGGGCUGGGGCACACAUGUACUCCUGGUCAUGCAUGCGUCCUGGCUUUCCUGGCCUUCAAGAAGCUGUGGCUGCUGUCAACUCCUCAGCUCAACCUCCCCACCUUCCUUUCUGUCCUCUCUUUUGAUUAAAGCACAUUUUUACCUUAAUAUUCCCAAGAAAAGAUUAGGGUGUUUUUUUUGUUUCGGUGGUACUGGGGAUUGAGCCCAGGGAUACUCUAUCAUCU
rnacentral:lncRNA from 1 species